UUUGGGAGGGGAAGGCGGCGGGAGAAGGUAGCACUGGUUUGGGGCUAGGACCACCGAAGAGGCUGGCCCUGGAACGCGGCCAGCCUGGGGGGCGGGGUGGAUAGGAGUGUCGGGGGUGGAAAGACCGCAUUGGCCACCGCUCUCAGACCCACUCACCGAAGAUCGCCUCCACCAGCCACGCCUCGAGGUGAACAGCCUUCGGACUCUUCAGCUGUACGAGCGUCGGAAACCGCUUAGGAGUGGCCAUGCUGCCGUAGGCCUUGCUGCUAGCGGCCGUGAAGCUGCAAACCAAGAAGGCCAAGUAAUCUCUGUUAGGAUGUCCUUGGAACCACAGUAGAGGGGAUGGCCAUCUUGCCAGAGCAACCCAAUGAAAAGCCCCUAGUAGCGUGCCAGAACGAAUUGGAGGUCAACCAAUCACCGAGCGACAGCACAACCUGAUACGAGAAAGGCCCACCCGGACCUAAACCCGGAACCGCUGCAGCUUAAAAAACCCACCCCACCACACCUGGGUGCGACUUCCCUGACUUCUCUCUCUCUCCCUGAGUCAGGGAACCUCGCCUGAGACCUUAGUUCCCAAAUAAA